GGGAUCCGGUGAAACUGCAGAUGGAGAGGGAGGAACUUGAAAGGCGGCAGAGAGAAGAAAAAGCACGACUGCAAGCGGAGGCCAAAGCUGCGGAAGAGGCAAAGAAAAAAGCUGAAGCUGAAGCUGCUGUUCAAGCCAAAAGGAAGAGGGAGCUGGAGAGAGAAGCCGCACGGCAGGCUCUUUUAAAGGUGGAGAAGACAGUGGACAUCAAUGAGAACGGUCGAUUUAGG